AAGACGUUUACAAAGCUGGGAUGGAUGAGAAACAAAAUGAACAAUAAUAAAGUGAAUAUCGCUUACAACUGGCGAGUCCGGGAGCAAGUGUGCCAGAGAGUUCUGUUCAUGACAGCAAUACAGCAUUGUACAUUUAAAGUGCUGCCUUUGAAGAUCUAUAGGAUUGCCCUACAUGUAGGCAUUAUGGAUUAACAAUAUUGCACAUACAAACACAUUUGCAAGUUAUCCAGGACAAAAUCCAGCAACAGAAGACAGUGUAAUCAGACAUAAGAUUAAAA